UACGGAGGGUGCAAGCGUUAUCCGGAUUCACUGGGUUUAAAGGGUGCGUAGGUGGCUUUGUAAGUCAGUGGUGAAAUACCGCAGCUCAACUGCGGAACUGCCAUUGAUACUGCUUAGCUUGAAUCAGGUCGAGGUGGAUGGAAUAUUACAUGUAGCGGUGAAAUGCUUAGAUAUGUAAUAGAACACCGAUUGCGAAGGCAGUUCACUAGGCCUGAAUUGACACUGAGGCACGAAAGCGUGGGGGAGCGAACAGGG
rnacentral:rRNA from 1 species